GCGCAGCAGUCGAGAAUACUUUACAAUGUGCGAAAGCACGAUAAGGGAACUCUGAGUGCCUCCUAAGGAGGCUGUUCAGGUGUCUAAAAGCACCUGAAGGAAGGGCUGGGUAAGACCGGUGCCAGCCGCCGCGGUAACACCGGCAGCCCGAGUGGUAGCCACGUUUAUUGGGUCUAAAGCGUCCGUAGCCGGCUGGGUAAGUUCCUUGGGAAAUUUGGCUGCUUAACAGUCAAGCUUUCAGGGAAUACUGCCCGGCUUGGGACCGGGAGAGGUCAGAGGUACUCCAGGGGUAGGGGUGAAAUCCAUUAAUCCUUGGGGGACCACCGGUAGCGAAGGCGUCUGACCAGACCGGGUCCGACGGUGAGGGACGAAGGCUAGGGGCGCGAACCGGAUUAGAUACCCGCGUAGU
rnacentral:rRNA from 1 species